rnacentral:rRNA from 1 species
UACGGAGGGUGCAAACGUUGCUCGGAAUCAUUGGGCGUAAAGCGCACGUAGGCGGCUAGAUAAGUCGGGUGUGAAAGCCCUGGGCUCAACCCAGGAAGUGCAUUCGAAACUGUCUAGCUUGAAUCUCGGAGGGGGUCAGAGAAGUUCCCGGUGUAGAGGUGAAAUUCGUAGAUAUCGGGAGGAAUACCAGUGGCGAAGGCGCUGACCUGGACGAAGGAUUGACGCUGAGGCACGAAAGCGUGGGGAAGCAAACAGGGAUUAAGAAACCCCGUG